CGGCUAACUCCGUGCCAGCAGCCGCGGUAAUACGGAGGGUGCGAGCGUUAAUCGGAAUUACUGGGCGUAAAGGGCACGCAGGCGGUUAAUUAAGUUGGAUGUGAAAUCCCCGGGCUUAACUUGGGAAUGGCAUUCAAGACUGGUUAGCUAGAGUCUUGUAGAGGGGGGUAGAAUUCCGUGUGUAGCGGUGAAAUGCGUAGAGAUGUGGAGGAAUACUGGUGGCGAAGGCGGCCCCCUGGACAAAGACUGACGCUCAUGUGCGAAAGCGUGGGGAGCAAACAGGAUUAGAUACCCUGGUAGUCCACGCUGUAAACGAUGUCGAUUUGGAGGUUGUGGUCAUGAACUGUGGCUUCCGGAGCUAACGCGUUAAAUCGACCGCCUGGGGAGUACGGCCGCAAGGUUAAAACUCAAAUGAAUUGACGGGGGCCCGCACAAGCGGUGGAGCAUGUGGUUUAAUUCGAUGCAACGCGAAGAACCUUACCUACUUUUGACAUCCAGCGAAUCCUUUAGAGAUAGAGGAGUGCCUUCGGGAGCGCUGAGACAGGUGCUGCAUGGCUGUCGUCAGCUCGUGUUGUGAAAUGUUGGGUUAAGUCCCGCAACGAGCGCAACCCUUAUCCUUUGUUGCCAGCG
rnacentral:rRNA from 1 species